rnacentral:rRNA from 1 species
AGAGUUUGAUCAUGGCUCAGGACGAACGCUGGCGGCGUGCCUAAUACAUGCAAGUCGUGCGAGGCUCUUCGGAGUCGAGCGGCGGACGGGUGAGUAACACGUGGGCAAUCUGCCCGACAGACCGGGAUAACGCUUGGAAACGAGUGCUAAUACCGGAUAGGCUCUUGCUUCGCAUGAAGCGAGAGGGAAAGCUGCUUUUGCAGCACUGUCGGAUGAGCCCGCGGCGCAUUAGCUAGUUGGUGAGGUAACGGCUCACCAAGGCGACGAUGCGUAGCCGACCUGAGAGGGUGACCGGCCACACUGGGACUGAGACACGGCCCAGACUCCUACGGGAGGCAGCAGUAGGGAAUCUUCCGCAAUGGGCGCAAGCCUGACGGAGCAACGCCGCGUGAGUGAUGAAGGCCUUCGGGUUGUAAAACUCUGUCUUCUGUGAAGAACAAGCCUAUGACGAAAAUGCUUAGGCCCUGACGGUAACAGAGGAGGAAGCCCCGGCUAACUACGUGCCAGCAGCCGCGGUAAUACGUAGGGGGCAAGCGUUGUCCGGAAUCACUGGGCGUAAAGCGCGCGCAGGCGGCUGUCUACGUCCGGGGUGAAAGCCCAGAGCUCAACUCUGGGAUUGCCUUGGAUACGGGAUGGCUUGAGGAUCGGAGAGGCAAGGGGAAUUCCACGUGUAGCGGUGAAAUGCGUAGAGAUGUGGAGGAACACCUGUGGCGAAGGCGCCUUGCUGGCCGAUUUCUGACGCUGAGGCGCGAAAGCGUGGGGAGCGAACAGGAUUAGAUACCCCCGUAGUCC